rnacentral:lncRNA from 1 species
GGGCUGGGCCGCUCUCCACCGGAGCGGCUGGAAAAGCCGCUUCCCUGCCCCAGCCAGCCCGGGGCAGGAGGGCGGCGGGUCCCGGGGUGACUGCUUGCCCGUGGGACAGGGGGUUAUUAUCACAGCUGUGUAACCCGGGGGCGGGAGCCCUGGCGGGAAGAGGGCGGAGGUGGGAGCUCAGCCAAGUGCUGGGCGCUUAGCGCGGUGCAGGCACGCACCUUGCACGGGCAGGGCAGGCCAGGCCAGGCCAGGCCAGGCAGCGCUGCUGUACUGUGGGCAGGGACUUGCUCUCACCCCCACGUGGAAUAGGAGCAUUUCCCGAUCCACGGACCGGAGCGUGAUCACCCUGGAAAGGCUACUCAGCUCUGCCCUCCCGGGUACGUCUACGCGCCAGCUCUGCCUUCCCGGGGUACGUCCGCUCCGCAGCUAAACGCCAGCUCUGCCCUGCCAGGGUGUAUCCGCUGCGCCGCGAAAUGCCAGCUCUGCUCUCCCGGGGUACGUCUACACGCCAGCUCUGCCCUCCCCAGGGUACGUCCGCUCCGCAGCUAAACGCCAGCUCUGCCCUGCCAGGAUGCACGGAUGCUGAACAGAUCAGUGAAGGUCUCAUCUGUUUUAGAGACAACAGCUACAGUUCCAGAGCCACAAGAACCACCACAGCAGCCAGGGCUACAGCUUUGAAAAUGGGAAAACUGAGGUAUGGAUGAUGUGGACAGUGAAUAAAAAUCACCAGAUGCUGCA